rnacentral:rRNA from 1 species
UACGAAGGGUGCAAACGUUGCUCGGAAUCACUGGGCGUAAAGCGCACGUAGGCGGCUUUCUAAGUCAGGGGUGAAAUCCUGGAGCUCAACUCCAGAACUGCCUUUGAUACUGGAGAGCUAGAGUCCGGAAGAGGUGAGUGGAACUGCGAGUGUAGAGGUGAAAUUCGUAGAUAUUCGCAAGAACGCCAGUGGCGAAGGCGGCUCACUGGCCCGAUACUGACGCUGAGGUGCGAAAGCGUGGGGAGCAAACAGG